rnacentral:sRNA from 1 species
GGAUAGAUCCCAGUAUCACAAGGUACUACAGGGUCCUGACAUGUGCUAAGCACAGGGUCAGAUUCCUCAAAUUUUUGGAAAGCUCUUCCGGGGAUAUCCGGUGGAGCAAC